rnacentral:lncRNA from 1 species
UGUUGGCUGGUCACCCGCAUCGUUUCGUGGGUUUGGAAACGACGGGUGAGCGACGGUGAAGUUCCGGUGCGGUUUUCGGGACUUCCGGUUUGUUCGGUAAUCGGUUUUGGAAAAUCGAUUCUCGUGGGCUGAAUUGUGGGGUUAUGCUUUUAGGGUUUCUUAGUUGUGGGUUAGACACUAACCCAGUGGAUUCCCCAUAGGUCCUGUUGACGUUCUUUUGCAGUCAGGAGACAGGCGCGACAGUUGUACAGGUGGGUACUUCGAUCCGACGUUGGUACAGUGGUGCACGCUCGGUGACG